rnacentral:rRNA from 1 species
UGAUUCGGCCACACUGGACUGAGACCGUCCCAGGUCUACGGAGGCAGCAGUGGGGAUUUGACCAUGGGCGAAGCCUGAUCCAGCAUGGCGCGUGCGGGAAGAAGCUCGGGUGUAAUCGCUUUAGUCGGGAAAAGGGGUGCGAGGAUAUACCCUCGUGCUUUGAUGUACUGAGAGAAGCACGGCUACUACGUGCCAGCAGCCGCGGUAAUACGUAGGGUGCGAGCGUUAAUCGGAAUUACUGGGCGUAAAGCGUGCGCAGGCGGUUGUGUAAGACAGGUGUGAAAUCCCCGGGCUUAACCUGGGAACUGCGCUUGUGACUGCACAGCUAGAGUAUGGCAGAGGGGGGUGGAAUUCCACGUGUAGCAGUGAAAUGCGUAGAGAUGUGGAGGAACACCGAUGGCGAAGGCAGCCCCCUGGGCCAAUACUGACGCUCAUGCACGAAAGCGUGGGGAGCAAACAGGAUUAGAUACCCUGGUAGUCCACGCCCUAAACGAUGUCGACUAGGUGUUCGGUGAGGAGACUCAUUGAGUACCGCAGCUAACGCGUGAAGUCGACCGCCUGGGGAGUACGGUCGCAAGAUUAAAACUCAAAGGAAUUGACGGGGACCCGCACAAGCGGUGGAUGAUGUGGAUUAAUUCGAUGCAACGCGAAAAACCUUACCUACCC